GCAACUUUUGGAAUAAUAGAAGUUGUCAAAUUACAAUAACUCCAAUGAUUUUAGUUAGGAAUAUAAAAGAUGAAGUUAGAAUAGGAUAUUAGACUUGGUUAGCAUUUUGUAUACUAUGAGCUAAAAUAAACCCCUACAAGUUGGAAGUCUAUUCUAAUUCAAUUUUAAUUGUCUAAAUCUUCUAACAAUUCCUCUUAGCAUUUGUGUCCAACAAUUCUAUUAACUCUUCAAUUUUGAGAUAAAAUAGACCACCCUAGUAGGUGAUUUAUUCUAAUUCACAACCACUACUUAAUCUAUGAAGUGAUUUAAUAAAAACUCUUACUACUUCUUGUCAAAAUAGAUAAAAUUCUCUACCAAUUUUAAUCCACAUUCAAUUUUCCAAGAUUCUCAUAAUACAGUUUGUUGGUGAUGAGCCGGAACACAAUUGGGAAGUCCUAGCCGAGCACCUUGUUGCUCCGGGGCGCUGGUGAACCCACCGUUGACAUUACUUCCAGUCCUCCCUCCGAUCUCGAUCCGAUGCGGUGAGAAUGCUAUUGUGAGUGCUUCCACUUCGAAUUCCUUGUUGCUCUCGAUGCCCCACUCUUGUUGUUGCCAGGCUUUCAAUGCAGCAAUCCUUGUAGGCGCUGAUCGGGUUCCUUCUUGUGCAAAAAGGUAGACGAUAGAUUCCAGUCUACACUUCGACCCCGAUGCAACGUAGAUUCGGCUUGGUCGCCUUGCUGCGAUACAAGUGUCGACAGCAACCACUGACUAGCUCUACGCUUGUCUAACCAUCGACUCUUCUACAGGAGGAACUCGCACAGCAUUCACAGCCCCCACAAAGACCUCGCUUCCGAAAGAAAAGAUCCAGGAACAAAGGGCUUGUAAUCUCGCCACGGCCUCAUAUACAAUGUAAGCUCAAGUACAUGAAUAAACCGGCUAGUUGAAUUGGCUUCACUUGAAGAUCAAGUACAGUAAAAGGACUUGCUCUAACAUAGCAUUUAAGGUUCCACGAGAAAAGAACCAACGAAUCAUGCGACUCGCAAUUCCGCUGCUACCGCGACACCGCACUCGACAUUGUCGACCAUAGUCGUCUGCCUCGCUACUUCCAGAACUCAACAAUGGUGGUUAUCCUUCAAAUGAUUCAUUUACUCGAAAUCAAUUAAAAUCUGAAGGCUAUUACGAUCAAUCGGCAAGUCCCGAUCUUUCCGUUAGAGUAAUGAAAAAGAGGGUGCAGAGGCUUGGACAAUUGGAAAAAAUCAAAAGGUGAGCUCUGGCAACUUGCGGCAACGUCGGAAGUUGCGGUUCUUCUCACUUCUUUUGCUCCAUCGACUCUUCUUACCACUCACACCAAGCGAUUUAAAGCCAAGUGGAACUACUGCCUCAAUUCAAAGCCACUUCAUCGCGAGCUGACACCAAGUCAUGCAACCGUAGCAAGCCCGCCACUUCUGCGGCGACGCAAUAUAUCGGAAAAAACCGAAACGAACACAAUGCUGAACAGAGCACCACCUACCCCAACAGAACUGCUUCUCCCAUAACAUGAAUCGAGAACACCAAUUUGUGUUCAAUUCACAGGGAGGAUAGAUUUCCAACCACACAAGGGAAAUAACAAAAAAAACUAGAAGCCAUAUGUGGCUUCCC
rnacentral:lncRNA from 1 species